GAAAAUGAACAGGACUAUUCUUCCUCAAACAAAGAGAUCAUGUGAUGAAGACUCACCAGAGCUGUUCUCUAUAAGCUUGAAGAGCAAUGGUAUCAGGGAGAGCCCCAUGAUGGCAUCUCUGGGCUGGAGAGGCAAAAUAUACCAAUAUACUGGAUGAAUCAAAUGAUAGGCUUCAUACAACUUGGACAAGAAUAGAAUUGGUGACUUUAUAUGAAGAGGAAAAGAGACCUGAGUUAGCACACAGUAUCUUCACCCCUUGAUACCCUGGGCUGCUUUGGGACUACUGCAGAGAGUUCUCACCAGCAAGAAGGCCUCACCAGAUGUGGCCUUUCAACCUUGGAUUUCUCAGCCCCAAGACUAUGCUGUCAUGCCUGAGAAGUUGUCACAUUAACAGGAUGACAACAUACUUUGGAGGACUAAUGAUUAUUCAGAGCAAGACUAUGGACAAAAGAAAUAAAAAUUUAAAAGGCAGAGAGAAUGAAAGAAGGUAUAUGACAAAGUUUCACUCUCGUUGCCCAGGCUGGACUACAAUGGCAUGAUCUCAGCUCACUGCAACCUCCACCUCCGGGGUUCAAGCAAUUCUCCUGCCUCAGUUUCCUGAGUAGCUGGGAUUACAGGCACCCACCACCACGCCAGCUAAGUUUUUGUAUUUUUAGUAGAGAGGGGGGUUGGCCAGGUUGGUCUUGAACUCCUGACUUCAGGUGAUCCACCCUCCUUGGCCUCCCAAGUGCUGAGAUUACAGGCAAGAGCCAGAGCGCCGGGCCAAUACUAAGCAUAAAAUGCAUUAUAGAUGGUGCUUUGGGCUGAAAUAAACACAAAGUAAAUAAGCAGAUAUUUAUUUUUAUAAGAAUAAAUGAAAUAUUUUCUGUUAUUGAAGAAUAUCUGAUAUAGGUUAGCUGUUGAGAAGUUUACCAUAAAUGCUUAUUAAUUAAUUUAUGGGAUAUACAGGAGCUCUAAAAAAAAGCCAAAUCAAGUGCUAGAGCUUACUCAUGAAAUGGUUUUGAAACUGGGCUUGUAAAAAUGCUUCUUUGUGAAACUGCUUGUAGAUAUGAAAGAAAACCCUGCUAGAAUUCAUUCUUAAGACAUUAGAUUAUCUCUAUAUGUAGAACUAGUUCUGCAUAUUUUGUCUGAAUUAAGUUUUUUAGAAGGUUAAAAUAAAAUGUUAUUAUGGAAAGUGAGUGAAAAUUUGAGAUUAUCAGGUAAAUUUCUUAAUAAUAAGGUUUUGAGAGAGAUUUAUUGAAUGCCUGAAAAAGUGGGAACAGAAGAAGAGUGAGGCACAAAACACUGAAUGGGUGCAGUUGACAGAAAAAAAGGCUGAAAAGCAAACUUCAUCUUUUGCAGUUAUGCCCUGUGAUAUCUGGAAGCUAUCUGGAAACAUUGUUUUGGCAUGGCAUGGAUGAGUCAAGCUCUAGUAUAUCUUCAGUUUAUUCCAACUGUGUUAUUUGACGUGAGUUUUCUUUUUGCUUAUCUCCAGCUCAGCAACCAACCUUAACCAAACUAAAGCUUUGGUAGUGUAACUGAAAAAGUCCUGGAAUUGGAAAAGAAAAUCCAGAAGUUGAGUUCCAUGACUUUUUUGCUGUUUGCCUUUGGGAAUAUAAGAAAAUCAAGAUACUUAAAGAUUCAAAACUAAAAUUCUUCCUUCUACCUGAUGUUCUGGUUUCUUUUAAAGGUGCUGACUCCUCUAGAAGUCAUUCAAGUUAUGAAGUAUUAUCAUAAGGUAGUGAGGAACUUGCUCCAGACAGCAUAGCGAGAAGUCACCAUUCCUCUUUUCUUUAAUGUGGCUCCCCCAAGAGACUUCUUUAUAACAUUUCAUGUCGGAACAGCUUGUGGUCCAGGGGGCUAAUAUGGGAACCCGCCAGUUUCUAAGGACAUACUUCAAACAUGCAUUCAUGAACUGGGUAACCAAUACCAGAUUACCUGAUUUCCCUGAGGGUGUCUUGCCUGCAACCCACUUUCUAUACCCAAUUUCUAUACCAGUGAGGGUUUUGUAAUGCAGAAAUCAACAAGAGAUGCUGCUAAUUUUAACAAGAAAGGACUUUUUAAGGAAGUAACAUAGAUAGGUCACAGAAUCCAUUGGGAGGCUGAAGAAUCAACUUCAGAUAAUGAGAAAGAAACUUGAGGAGCUGGAUGCAAGAAUUUUUACUGAACACUACAAUGACUGUAUAAAAAGAAAAAUUGAUUGAUAGCAGAGUUGGAAACUAGCAAAAGAUGACAUCUCUAAGCCUGAAAGCCAGAAGGAAUGUUGGGAAUAUAUUGUUUAGAGGAUAACUUUGCAGAAAGGACAGAGUUAUGAGAUUACAAAGAACACAACAUUCAUCAGAAUGGGAGGUGAUUGGAUCAAGGAUGGAUUUCCCCCUUGCUGUUUUCAUGAUAGUGAACUUGCAUCAUUUAUAUUUUUAAUUCAUCGAAGAUGAGAAAAUUGAUUAACACAAAAUCUUUUCAUGUCUUUUCUGAUGAGAGACUAGCUGAAUCCAAGAAGAGAAGCCCUUGAAGAGCGUAUUGAAUUCUAGACAAGCAUUCACACAUUGGCUUCUUUGGUGCCAGAGCUAGUUAAUGAGAUUGUUGCUGCCUUCAGAUUCUAUAAAGGACUUCUUCAAUAUUGGAUUAAAGAAUGAAGAAAGGAUCAAAUUGAGACAGCCAGGCGGGAAGAGUUCCCUGGCAAAACUCCACUCUGCCUGAGCAUUGAGGUGGAGCCACAGAAGCCCAGGUCAUUUGCAACAGGGAGGAGCCUGGCCCUUCCUCUUCCUGUGUGGAAUCUGGGAUUUAAUCUGUGAGGAGGGAAGGCCAAGGACAGGAAGCACAGGCUCUCACUUUUUCCCCUUUUUUUGUUUAUGCCUAAUAAAUCCCAUUUUUCUCACUCUUCACAUAGUCUUCAAGCCUAAAUUUUCAUGACUGUGGAACAAGGACCCCACCUUUAGCUGAACUAAGGAAAAGUCUUGCAACAAAAUUCUUUGCUAAAAAUACAUGAGGUUGCCUUCUUCUUAAUCUAAAAAGAAAUAAAUAUAUUUCAAUGGUUGGUUAAUGUUUUAGUAAUUCAAAAAUUAUCAAGCAUUUGUUCACAACCAUAAGUUGUGCAUUGUUUUAUAUUCCUACUUAAUAAUAGUCCAUACUUGUCCUAGACUGCUGAUGUUGAUCUUUGUGGCUCAUUGCAUUGAUUAUAAGCAGUGUUUUGGGUGUGCGUGUCAAAUGUAGGGGUUUUUGGCAUGGCUGCUGGUAGUAUGUAUCCAGUAUCCUGUAUUAAUUCUAAUAUUUGCAUUUUGAACAUAUUUACAAGUUGCUAAAAUAGCAAAGCUUCAAGAUGAGCCUGGCUAUUAUGGCAAAACCCCGUCUCUACUAAAAAUACAAAAAUUAGCCUGGUGUGGUGGUGCAUGCCUGUAAUCCCAGCUACUUGGAAGUCUGAGGCAGGAGAAUCUGUUGAACCCAGAAGGUGGAGGUUGCAGUGGGCCGAGAUUGCACCACUGCACUCCAGCCUCGGUGAUAGAGUGCGACUCUGUCUCGAAAAUAAAAUAAAAUAAAUAAAAAUAGCAAAGCUAUGUAUGGUUUCUCUGAGUUUUGUAAUUUAUCAUUGCUAACUGCAG